rnacentral:rRNA from 1 species
UACGUAGGGUGCAAGCGUUAAUCGGAAUUACUGGGCGUAAAGCGCGUGUAGGCGGCAACGCAAGUCGGGCGUGAAAUCCCAUGGCUCAACCAUGGAAGUGCACUCGAAACUGCGUCGCUAGAGUCCUGGAGAGGAAGGUGGAAUGCUUGGUGUAGAGGUGAAAUUCGUAGAUAUCAAGCGGAACACCGGUGGCGAAGGCGGCCUUCUGGACAGUGACUGACGCUGAGACGCGAAAGCGUGGGGAGCAAACAGG